AUAAAGAAAUUGAAAGACAUCCCAUGCACAUGGAUUGGAAGAAUAAACAUAGUUAAAUGUCUAUAUUAUCUAAAGCAAUCUACAAAUUCAUU